AGGUUGGUUAAGGAGGCAAGUUUUCUGGAUAUCAAAGCAAAUAUUACAAUUAGUUAUGGAAGAUGCUGUGGAUGACUUGCUACUGAGGGAGAUAUGUUGGCUGCGGAAUGAAGACACAGUUGCUCAAGGAAUUCGUUGGGCUCAAGAUAUUCUUUGGCCAAAUGGCGUAUUCUUUACAAGAGUGAAUGACAGUCAAGA